rnacentral:rRNA from 1 species
GUGGGGAAUAUUGCGCAAUGGGGGCAACCCUGACGCAGCCAUGCCGCGUGAAUGAAGAAGGCCUUCGGGUUGUAAAGUUCUUUCGGUGACGAGGAAGGCGUGAUGUUUAAUAGGCAUCACGAUUGACGUUAAUCACAGAAGAAGCACCGGCUAACUCCGUGCCAGCAGCCGCGGUAAUACGGAGGGUGCGAGCGUUAAUCGGAAUAACUGGGCGUAAAGGGCACGCAGGCGGCUAUUUAAGUGAGGUGUGAAAUCCCCGGGCUUAACCUGGGAAUUGCAUUUCAGACUGGGUAGCUAGAGUACUUUAGGGAGGGGUAGAAUUCCACGUGUAGCGGUGAAAUGCGUAGAGAUGUGGAGGAAUACCGAAGGCGAAGGCAGCCCCUUGGGAAUGUACUGACGCUCAUGUGCGAAAGCGUGGGGAGCAAACAGGAUUAGAAACCCUAGUAGUCC